rnacentral:rRNA from 1 species
UACGUAGGGGCCUAGCGUUGUCCGGAAUUAUUGGGCGUAAAGGGCGCGUAGGCGGCGGGGUAAGUCGGGUGUGAAAUCUCAGGGCUCAACCCUGAAACUGCACUUGAUACUGCUCUGCUUGAGGACUGGAGAGGAGACUGGAAUUCACGGUGUAGCAGUGAAAUGCGUAGAUAUCGUGAGGAAGACCAGUGGCGAAGGCGGGUCUCUGGACAGUUCCUGACGCUGAGGCGCGAAGGCCAGGGGAGCAAACGGG